rnacentral:misc_RNA from 1 species
AUUGAGAGAUCAUGGAGAGUCAUUUUUGUGUGUUUUCUCCUGCAGAAUAGGAGUUGCCGACUCAAAUCUUGCAGAACUCUUGGCUAUUGGUAAAGCUAUGGAGUUGAGCAUUAAUUCUAUUGACCUUUUCAGUGAGAUUGUGGAGGUGAUUGCAGAGUCGGAUUCCAAAUCUGCAAUUUCAUGGGUUAGUAAUCCAGAUGCGGCCANNNUUGGAGAUUUUUUCAAUUACUAAUGGCAUCUUGUCAUGUUUACAGCAAUUUCAGCAAGUGUCAUUUGUCCAUACACCCCAUGAAGCUAAUACUCUUUGCAAGGCAGGGAGUUGCUCGCUGCUCUGAUCUUGUUGCCUUUUUUUUAGUAGUUUUGUGGUUUUUGUUUAUUUGCGGGGGCAGUCUGCUAUUUUCUAUUGGUUUUUGGUGUGGAUUUGGUUUUUUUAGCAUGGUAAUUAAGCCAUCUAUGAUGCUGUUGGGUAAGUUAUGAUGCAUUUGGGUUAUG